rnacentral:rRNA from 1 species
CGCAAGCCUGACGGAGCAAUACCGCGUGAGGGAGGAAGGCUUUUGGGUUGUAAACCUCUUUUCUCAAGGAAGAAGAAAGUGACGGUACUUGAGGAAUCAGCAUCGGCUAACUCCGUGCCAGCAGCCGCGGUAAUACGGAGGAGGCAAGCGUUAUCCGGAAUUAUUGGGCGUAAAGCGUCCGCAGGUGGCGAUUCAAGUCUGCUGUCAAAGCACGGGGCUUAACUCCGUUAAGGCAGUGGAAACUGAAUGGCUAGAGUGCCGUAGGGGUAGAGGGAAUUCCCGGUGUAGCGGUGAAAUGCGUAGAGAUCGGGAAGAACAUCGGUGGCGAAAGCGCUCUACUGGACGGCAACUGACACUCAGGGACGAAAGCUAGGGGAGCG